CCUAGGGUGGCUGCAGUGGGGAAUAUUGCACAAUGGAGGAAACUCUGAUGCAGCAACGCCGCGUGGAGGAUGACACUUUUCGGAGCGUAAACUCCUUUUAUAUAGGAAGAAGAUGACGGUACUAUAUGAAUAAGCGCCGGCUAACUCCGUGCCAGCAGCCGCGGUAAUACGGAGGGCGCAAGCGUUACUCGGAAUCACUGGGCGUAAAGAGCGUGUAGGCGGAUUAAAAAGUCAGAAGUGAAAUCCUAUAGCUUAACUAUAGAACUGCUUCUGAAACUCUUAAUCUAGAAUAUGGGAGAGGUAGAUGGAAUUUCUGGUGUAGGGGUAAAAUCCGUAGAGAUCAGAAGGAAUACCGAUUGCGAAGGCGAUCUACUAGAACAUUAUUGACGCUGAGACGCGAAAGCGUGGGGAGCAAACAGGAUUAGAUACCCUCGUAGUC
rnacentral:rRNA from 1 species